rnacentral:lncRNA from 1 species
GCGACUGGAGCAGGCGGCGGAGACAAAGGCGACGAUAGCGCCAGUGUUGAGUGAAACACAGAAACCAAAUGAGAAGAUGUCUUCAAGGAACAACUGCUAAUGAGUCUGCAGAGUCGCCUGUGUGUCUUUCAGCGUAGUCUCCACUCAGAGCUGAGUGAGUGGCCCCAUUGAUGAGUGACCUGCUGCCGGCUCUGGACCAAAGCUGUUCUGUCCUUCCCACUGACUUGGAACCAGUCUGUAGAACCGGAAGCAGAGAAAAGAAGCAAUCAGACUUCCCUUUCAAUCAACUCGUGACAUUUGACUCCAGAGACAGAGGCACAGUGAAAUAGUUAUCUGACGACCAUCCUCACUUUGAGGGCGCACAUCGUGGAGCUUCCUGUGUGAAGAUUUGGAGCCUUCGUGGUGCUUGCUCAGGCCUUGGACUGAGCAUGAGUGAAUUCUGGCUGUGCUUCAACUGCUGUAUUGCAGAGCAGCCUCAGCCUAAGAGGCGACGACGGAUUGACCGAAGUAUGAUUGGGGAACCAACCAACUUUGUGCACACAGCUCACGUAGGAUCCGGAGACCUAUUUAGUGGGAUGAACUCGGUCAGCUCCAUUCAGAACCAGAUGCAGUCCAAGGGAGGUUAUGGAGGAGGAAUGCCUGCCAAUGUGCAGAUGCAGCUUGUGGACACAAAGGCAGGAUAGCCCUGGUCCCUUCAUCGUCAUUGUGAACUCCCGUAUUUUCUCUGUCCACAGUUCUAUAAUAUUUUUGUCUUGUGAUUGGAUUUCUUUUAUUUUAAUUAUAAAAAAGAAGUGUGGCGGCAAUCUGUUCACCCUGUGAUCUCCAGCAAAGAUGUUCCUGCUCCAGGGAAGGCAGUGUCAGGCCGACCUGCCUUGCCGUUAGCGGCAUGCAUGCCUGGGACUCUGACAGAGUUCUUUGGAUCGUAGCUGAAUUUUCAAUGUUUAAUUGACAUGGAUCGGAUCUUAGCAUGGUCUUCUUUGUGACUGCUAGCACUGUAUUGUAAUUUUCCAUUUUAAACCUUUUCGUUGCACCUCC